UUAAUCUGCAGGAAUGUAACCAUUGGUGAUUAUUUUGGUCAUAUGUUCCAUAGCAGCCUACUGCUUCACUGUGGUAUCCACAUUUCAGUGGCGAGACAAGAUUGAAGCAAGCGUUUGAGAACAUUUCAUACUAUUACAACAUGUGGAUAUUACAAGGACAGAAAUUAUAGGAGUGCAGGCUUUGCUUUAAUUGAUGAUUGCAUUGAAAAUUCCAUGUUCAGUCUCUGGUAAUAGCCAAAAAGAGACAGAAAUUAAACAAACUCUAGCCAUUGAGGAUGA